rnacentral:rRNA from 1 species
UACGGAGGAUGCAAGCGUUAUCCGGAAUUAUUGGGCGUAAAGCGUCCGCAGGUGGCACUUCAAGUCUGUCGUCAAAGACUGGGGCUUAACCCCGGAAAGGCGGCGGAAACUGAAGCGCUAGAGUGCGGUAGGGGUAGAGGGAAUUCCCGGUGUAGCGGUGAAAUGCGUAGAGAUCGGGAAGAACAUCGGUGGCGAAAGCGCUCUACUGGACCGCAACUGACACUCAGGGACGAAAGCUAGGGGAGCGAAUGGG